ensembl:lncRNA
UUCACAUUUGUAACAAGAAGAAAGCUUUGAAUUUACAAAAUGCUAGACUAUUUUUAGGUGGAAGAAAAUGAUCUCAUAUUUUGGCUUGCGUUUAGCUAAAUUGAUGCAUAGAUUUUCAGUACAGCAGAACAUACUUAAAUAGUCUGUCGGAUGCUUCUUUGUGAACGUAGCACGAAAUCUAAUUCCUGAACUGGAAAAUAAAUGAAAUGCAUAAUCUUUAUUAAAUGCUGUUAUAAGCAAACUAAGGAUGUUAGUAUGCUAUUGCUUUGUUACUUUAGAUAUAUUGAAAAGGUAACCUGGAAAAGAUACCCCUGUCUGAAUCAGUCCCAGUGCUUGAGAAGACAGAUUUGGGAACUCAUAUUAUGUCAUUCAUCUACCUUGACUUCACAAGAAUGGACACUUCUCAGUAAAGGAGAACAGAUACUUUCUGUCUAAGCCAGCAGACUUGCUAGCUCUGGAUACAGCAAUUAUCCCUGAAGACCAGACUAAGAAGGACAAAUGUUAUUUAACAAGUAUUUCUGAGUGUUGACAGACACUUAUACAAUUGUGUAUACACUACACACAUAUUUAUACAAAUAUAUGGUGGCUCAUUUUCAAUUCAUUCUACUGAAAUUGUGAACUGUCAUUGGAUGGUUGCUUGAUUUACAGAUUUUGAAUGGCAUUCCAUACUACAGCUGGUGACAGAUACUGGAAAGUUGGAUGUCCAAACAUUGGAUGCAGAUAGCCACAGAAAAUGGAUGGGAUUCGUGAAAACUUCAGAGACAGUGAUGAAAACUGAUCAGAAAGCCUUGAAACAAAUUUCAUACGUGACCUGAAAUCAGAUCAAAUUUGAAGUACAGAAGGUCAAAGCCAUAUGUAAUAUCAUGUGUGGAGUUCAAUCAUUGCUGUUGCCAUUACACUCCCUUUCUGGUGGUACUUCUCAGGAGAAGAAUACUAAGGAAGAAUGUGGUAUAAGAAGAAAAUUGGUUUCCCUAACAAAAUAUGAAGUCAUUUGGUAUUCAUUGCACUGGCAAACAUUAGGAUGGAUUGAUUGAAAAUGCAUCCACUGAAAAAAAACAUGCUUCACCUCAUUAUUGGUGUAUGUCCAAUUCUAUCCAUUCUAUCAAAGUCAUCCUGCUCUAUGCCAUGCUCCAGUCACACUCCUACACAGCAACAGCCACCCAUUUUGAAAAGUACUUCUGCCUAUCUCUGAUUAGGGCAUUUCUAAUUUGUUUAAUAUCUUUUUAGUAUUAACAGACUGAGUUAGUACAAUGGAAAAUACAAUGAAAAAUAAUGCAAACAAAAAAAAAAAAGUCCGACCCCUUGACUUCUCUUUGACACUAAAAUCUAUAACCUACUCUAUAUUAACCAGCAAGAUAGAAUGGUUUUAUUUAGUGUAAAUGAAGGUAGAAUUUGGAUUGUAGUACUCCACUGAAUGUAGAAAGCUGUUCUGUUUUUUUCCCUUCACUUUCUAGUUUAUUUCUUCAGGUGAUUGAUCCCUGCAUACUACUAUUAUGCUAAAAUUCAAUAUCCUACUCUAGAAUUAUUCUCACGUGUCAUCAUCCUUCAAUAUAAAGUGGAUAAAGAAUGUGUAUUUAUUUCAUCCAAAGAUGCCUGUUCACCAUCACGAUUCAUGGCAUGCUGGAAAAGUUUCUCAUGGUCAGUGAAUUUUCUGACAAAAAUGAAUCUCUCAGACAAAAAAGAAAAGGAAGGAGUGGCUAUACAGAGAGAGAGAAAUAACCAGUAGCUAGCUUAGGAAUGUUAAUUUGUUUUUUACUGUAAAAAUGCUCUAGUAGUUAUUCUUUUCUCUCAUUUCACAUCCAGAUAAAAAAAAAGAUAUUUGAAAAUAAUAUGAAAGAGGUGUAUAAAAGCUUAGCAACAACGAACGAAUGAGAGAUACAGAGUAAUUCAACACAGCCUAAUGAUUAGGGUUCUGAUCUGGUAUGCAAAAGACUCAGUCUUAAGUCCUUGGUAUGCAUUAUUUAGCGACAGGACUCUGGUCCCUUGUGUCCCCAGUGACAUAUAAUUUCGAAACUGAUCUGAAUGGUUAUAACUGAAGUUGUCCUGAGAAGUUCUUCUGAUUUUAUAAAUAAUUGAACGUUUUUGGAGCAGCUAUUUGAACUUCAUUCUUCCUGAAUAAGUACUCUAACUAAUAGAUGGUACAGAUCCUCC